rnacentral:rRNA from 1 species
CAGCAGCCGCGGGAAAACCAGCAGCCCAAGUGGUGGUCGCGAUUAUUGGGCCUAAAGCGCUCGUAGCCGGGCCGGUAGGUCCCUUGUGAAAUCGGACGGCCUAACCGUUCGGCGUGCAAGGGAUACUGUCGGUCUUGAGGCCGGGAGACGUCCGAGGUACUCCGGGGGUAGCGGUGAAAUGUUCUGAUCCUCGGGGGACCACCGGUGGCGAAGGCGUUCGACGAGAACGGGCCUGACGGUGAGGGGCGAAGGCUAGGGGAGCAAACGGGAUUAGAUACCCCCGUAGUCCCUGUCUCUUAUU